GCCCUAGUAGCUCAAUAUAGAGCGCCGGCCUUGUAAGCCGGAGGUCGGAGGCUAAAUUCCUCCCUAGUGC
rnacentral:tRNA from 1 species